rnacentral:tRNA from 1 species
GGGUGUAGCUCAGUGGUAGAGCACUUGUCUAGCAUGCAUGAGGUACUGAGUUCGUUCCUCAACACCACA